UGGACGGGUCCUUUGUGCCCACCACCCCACUAUCAAGUUUGGAUGGAGGGUUCAUGGAGAGCCGGGAGUACUUCUACAAAAUCAGCUGCUCCAGGAAGCUUUGCAAGUCUAAAGAUCUCCAACAAUUAAAAUGUUAGGACGAUGAGUUUCAGAGUUUCCACUCUGUAUGUGAAUUAACGGAGAGUUAAUGAGUCAGAUGGACGCAGCUGAGCCGAGUGAUUGACCACCUGAGCUGGAGUUUGCGCGAGUGGAAGCACAGGUGGUGGUGGUGGAGCUGAAGAAGUUACUGGAGCUGGCGUCGCUUAGUGGAACAGGUUGUCAGGUCCCGGCUGACAAACGUGGACAUUUGGACACCGUGAGUUCUGAAGAGGUGGACGGCGAACGGGUCGUGGAUUGGAAGAGAGAGCCCUUUACGACCCGUGUGUACAGACGCCCAGUAAGGAGUACAGGGUGAAGCCAGGCCAGAGACACGUGCGGGAGGCGCCAUUAGCUCCCGAAGCCGAGUACCGCUGGCUAAGGAAAGAAUCGAGACGUUAAUGGAGCAAGGAGGCCCUAAGACCUGGUCCGCCGAGGAUGGACCAUCCCCGAGUGAAAACCUGGGCCCAUAUUCAUCACACUGCUAAGAGGGAACGUGAAAUAUUAAAGAGAGAGAAAGACAGAGGAAGACAGCUGAUGUGAUUCAUUUGGCUGAGGAGUUCUUAGGAAUUCAGAAGUCCACCCCACCUUGCCAGCAUACUCGAUCC